UACGUAGGGCGCAAGCGUUGUUCGGAAUUAUUGGGCGUAAAGAGCUCGUAGGCGGUUUGUCGCGUCGGCUGUGAAACUCAGGGCUUAACCCUGGGCCUGCAGUGGGUACGGGCAGACUAGAGUGCGGUAGGGGAGACUGGAAUUCCUGGUGUAGCGGUGAAAUGCGCAGAUAUCAGGAGGAACACCGGCGGCGAAGGCGGGUCUCUGGGCCGUAACUGACGCUGAGGAGCGAAAGCAUGGGGAGCGAACAGG
rnacentral:rRNA from 1 species